CGCGGGCUGCGGAGGUGGUCGCUCCCCCACCGGCCGAGGGGUACGUGGCGACCUCCACGCGUGAGGGACACCGACCUCGACCUCACCCCCAGUUUCUGACGGAGAAAAGGGAGAAGUCGCCAGGGGCGGAUGCGGCGCGCCCCGGGGCCCUGACUCAGGUUGAUAGACUGGAUGAGGCGUGGGUAAUCCGCUGCUCGCAAGCUUGUUCAGGGAGCAAAACUUCUGAAGAUUUCAAGACAGGAAGGUAUCCAGAAAUACAGUCAAACUUUGGUUCUCGAACAUUUUCCAUCUCGAACAAUUUGGUUCUCAACCAAGUUGUUCAUAGAAAAAAUGUCUCAGUUGUUGAAUAAAACUUCGGUUCUCAACCUAACAACUCUUUCAUGCUGAUACCUGUAUGAUCAGUUAUGUGUCUCUCAGGUGACAAAGGAGAAAAUGCAUGAGUAUGAGUGAGAUUAUCGCUAAACCUCAUGUUACCAUCUUAGGAAAUUGUGCUGUGAAUAUUUUUGUGUUGUUUUGUGUAUGUUUUUGUUUUUGUUGCUGCUUAUUGUUAAUAUGUACAGUAAGUCACGAUGGGUCCUAUAAAGGUUAGUGAUAGCAACAAAAUGAAAAGGAAGUUGUGAGAACAAUGAUAGAGCUUGAAAAAGAAAUAAUUGCAAAGUAUGAUAAAGGUGUUUACAUGUCUAAUCUGGCUACCGAGUAUGGCAUGGCGAAAUCCACUAUUAGCACAAUUUUAAAACGAAAAGAGGCCAUCAAGAGUGGUGAUGUUGCCGAGGGUGUGACAGUGCUCACGAAACAACAAUCACAGACAAUUGAAGA